GACGAACGCUGGCGGCGUGCUUAACACAUGCAAGUCGAACGGAAAGGCCCUGCUUUUGUGGGGUGCUCGAGUGGCGAACGGGUGAGUAACACGUGAGUAACCUGCCCUUGACUUUGGGAUAACUUCAGGAAACUGGGGCUAAUACCGGAUAGGAGCUCCUGCUGCAUGGUGGGGGUUGGAAAGUUUCGGCGGUUGGGGAUGGACUCGCGGCUUAUCAGCUUGUUGGUGGGGUAGUGGCUUACCAAGGCUUUGACGGGUAGCCGGCCUGAGAGGGUGACCGGCCACAUUGGGACUGAGAGACGGCCCAGACUCCUACGGGAGGCAGCAGUGGGGAAUAUUGCACAAUGGGUGGAAGCCUGAUGCAGCAACGCCGCGUGCGGGAUGACGGCCUUCGGGUUGUAAACCGCUUUCGCCUGUGACGAAGCGUGAGUGACGGUAAUGGGUAAAGAAGCACCGGCUAACUACGUG
rnacentral:rRNA from 1 species